ACGCUGGCGGCGUGCUUAACACAUGCAAGUCAACGGUAAGCCCUUCGGGGUACACGAGUGGCGAACGGGUGAGUAACACGUGGGUGAUCUGCCCUGCACUUCGGGAUAAGCCUGGGAAACUGGGUCUAAUACCGGAUAGGACCAUGGACUUCACGGUUUGUGGUGGAAAGCUUUUGCGGUGUGGGAUGGGCCCGCGGCCUAUCAGCUUGUUGGUGGGGUAAUGGCCUACCAAGGCGACGACGGGUAGCCGGCCUGAGAGGGUGUCCGGCCACACUGGGACUGAGAUACGGCCCAGACUCCUACGGGAGGCAGCAGUGGGGAAUAUUGCACAAUGGGCGCAAGCCUGAUGCAGCGACGCCGCGUGAGGGAUGACGGCCUUCGGGUUGUAAACCUCUUUCAAUAGGGACGAAGCGCAAGUGACGGUACCUAUAGAAGAAGCACCGGCCAACUACGUG
rnacentral:rRNA from 1 species